UCCUCAUUAGUUAUAGUGGUGAGCAUCCCUGCCUGUCAUGCAGGAGACCUGGGUUCUUUUCCCUGAUGGGGAG
rnacentral:tRNA from 1 species